rnacentral:pre_miRNA from 1 species
AGUACAAUUGCUGGGUCAUAUGGUAAGAGUAUGUUUAGUUUUUUAAGAAACCCCUAAACUGUCUUUCAAAGUGGCUGUACCAUUUUGCAUUCCCACCAGCAAA